CUGCCCUGUGGAGACAAGGACGUCCCUCAUCCUCUGCUCCUGCUCACAGUGACACUGAUCUGGUAAAGCCCCCAUCCUGGCCUGACCCUGCCAUGGGCACCAGGCUCCUCUGCUGGGUGGUCCUGGGUUUCCUAGGAACAGAUCACACAGGUGCUGGAGUCUCCCAGUCCCCAAGGUACAAAGUCACAAAGAAGGGACAGGAUGUAGCUCUCAGGUGUGAUCCAAUUUCAGGUCAUGAUUACCUUUACUGGUACCAACAGGCCCUGGGGCAGGGCCCAGAGUUUUUGACUUACUUCCAGAAUGAAGCUCAACGAGACAAAUCAGGAAUGCCCAGUGAUCGCUUCUCUGCAGAGAGGCCUGAGGGAUCUGUCUCCACUCUGACGAUCCAGCGCACAGAGCAGGGGGACUCAGCUGUGUAUCUCUGUGCCAGCAGCUUAGCCACAGUGUGGCACAGUCACCUCCUUCCUGUCCACAAACCUCAUCCUUCUCUCUCCUUUCUGCUCCCAGGGACCCUUAACAGAGGCCUCUCUUUGAUCCUCACUUUUCGUGGGAAAGAAGUAGAUUUGGACAUCGGCUGUCCUUUGGGUAGGAAGAGACCAUAGAUUCAUUCCUGAAACACAGUGACUGCAAAUGUAGCUGGUGAAAACAAUCACGGCCCACUGCUCUCUAGGAGUCCUCAGAGCCAGCUCACUGCUCCAAGCAAGGAGUGGGUGUCUUAGCCUUGGCCUUCAGGGCAGACAUGCAUCUUCUGUAGGUCUUGGAGCCUGCUGUGCUGCCCACAUACAUGAGGUUGUCUUGGAAAGGACACCUGCCUCUUCUCCUGCAUAUGUUAGAGCAUCUGACAUCUGGAAGGUCUGAGGCUACAUCCCCAGGAAUAUCUUUCUUCUGAAGCCUAUUCUAUUCCUGUCACCUUGGAAGUUUUCUACAACAAAAUAUCAAACCUCUCUUCCUAUUUGAAGUAAAGGUCAUUGCAACUUUUGUAGUCCUUACUUGAUAAAUACAGUCAUGGUAACAAUAAGACUUCAUUUCUUCGCCUACUUUAAGCCGUAUGUAUCUUUUAUUUUGUUUCCAUUUGCCAUUGCUGCUGUCCUGAUAGACAGAAGCAUGCAUUCACCACCCCUGCUCGUUCACCUUGAUUCCCUCAGGAAAUGUGAUUUUUAGACUCUGAGGGUUUUCAUUGCUGUCCAACUCAUUUGAUUUGACAUAAUUUUCCUGAGGCCUUUAACUCAAGAAGUGUUUUAUUUAUAAUAUUGAAUCUGUUCCUUUUUAUAUUAUUUCUCAUGUAUUCUUAUGUAGUACUUGUUAUAAAUAGAAGUACAGUGAUUAUAUUGCAAUAGAAUCCUCCACCUGUCUGUGGGUGAUGCUGCAGUUUGUAUCUAUGAAAGUGAAUGCACUGGUCAGAGCUGAUGUGAUUAUGGAUCGUGGGUUUCUGAGAGUCCUCGGCGUCAGACCACUUCUCCAAGUCUGGGGUUCAGUGUCCCAGACGCAGCCAUGAUAGAGGUGCCCUGAGUCUUUCAUAGCUAGGAGGGGCAUCAUAGCCCUUCCAAAUUCUCUGAUCAGAAAUCGUGGUGGUACAGAUACCAAAUUUCUUUCCCCAGAAAAUGACGGUCUAUGGGAGGGAGUUGCUCUGGACCCACGUUAUAUGGUGCCAUCAUGAAAUCCCUCCUUGCUCAGGUGCCCUGUGUCUCCUGGGACUGAGUAAGGCCAGGGCACAGGUGGCAAUUCCCUGUCUUCCUAGACCUUGUGUCUAACUGCUGCCACCUUCCUCCACGUGACUCCUGAGACACCUGGUCCUAACACUGGACAAGCUCUGACACUGAGGCUGAAGAGAACACAGUCCACAGUUGUAAAUGGUGCUGCAAGGACAUUUAACAAAAGUGAGCAGGGCUUCCAGUUUAUACAGAGAAUGAACAUGCAAGAGGAGCAAAGGGCAGACAUUACUAAUGAACAAAUAGGAAGGAAUAGGGUUUCUGCUCUAAUGGAAUCAUUCUGUUGUCUUAAGGUAGGCAGGAGAAACAUUUCAUUGCAAUUACUUCAAGUCAAAGGCUAGCAGCUCCCCAACCAACUAGCAUAACUCUUUGCUCUGUGAUCUCGGCAGCUUCAGAGGACUCAAAAAUCCAUUCUCUGAACAAACAUCCCUUUGUCCCUUCCAAGACCCAGGAUCACACACUCUGAUCCUCUCAUGAAAACAAUGAGGUGUGCUAUAGUUGCUUGGGCCUCCUUUUUAGUGUGUUGAGUUGGAAGCAUUGAAGAACUUUGAAAGCUUUGCUCUUGAGUCUAGGGAUGUGCUAGAGCCAGCUUGUAUGACUCAGAAGAACCAAGUAGGCAUAUUCUUCCCAGCUCCCUGAUCAGUGAAGGCAUGCUGGGAGCUUGAAAUCUGCCAUGGUGGGUAUGCUGGUACAACAGAAAUUAGGAAAUGCUACCAGACAUGCCCCCACCUUCACAGACAUCCAGUUUAGCAGCACAUCACUGGGGUAUUUUCUGAUGUCCCUGUUAUGUCAUUUCUUGUGGGUCCAAAAGAGCUCAGAAUUAAUCUCCCCUCUACUCUUGUUCUUAGAAGCCAUCAUAUAAGGGGGACUUUAUUAUUCCUAUUUCUAUUCAACCCCCAAAUUCUCUUGCUCUGAAGGUCUGUGUUUCCCACAAGCAUGCCAGUCUGGAACAUGACAACUAUUUUGAAUGUACCUAAAGGUAUCACUGAACCUGUUCAUUAUUUACAGAUUGUCCUUCCUCAUAUGGAAUAUUCAGAUCCUGGAGUCACUGGAAACAGAGAUGGCCAAGUAGCAAGUCUAGGUUGUGAACCACUUACAGCCCUGCUAUUCUUCUGUGGCACUGACAGACCCUGAAACAAGGACUAUUUUGCUUUGGCAACUAUGCAGUUCCGCACCAGUCAGGAAUGACUCUGGUUUUACUUUAGGCUGAGAGGUCAGAAAUGUCACACCCUAAGUAUUCUCCUCUCCAAGACGGAGUAUGGCCACUCUCCAUCUCAGUCCCUGGAAGUUGUCCAGAGCUCCCUGAGAAUCCCUGCUCUGGGGGCAGAAUCACCAAGGCUCAUCCUUGCCAGCUCCCCACAGGCUCCAGCAGGGCUUAACUGCCAGGUGCAGGGCACAGGAAUGGUUCUGCCUGUCUCUUAAGUUAGAAGGAGGCCAUACAAUGAUAUUUGUAUAGGAGGGACUGGGAUUCUGGGUCUCCUUUAAAGUAUUUCAUAACAUUUUCUUUGUUGUUUUAUUUUGCCAUCUCACCAAUUAGGAGAGCAAUCCCUUGGUAGUUAUAUCGUUUUUGGCACUUGGGAAGGUUUUGUGGUUAAGUCACAUUAAGAAAUUGUGCCUUUUUUCCUGUCCAGAUAUAACCCAAGGCAGUAAACUAAACAGCAAUAUUUUUGAAAGCAGUCACUUGUGCAUUCUAUGAUAAAGGUGUUAAGUUUCAUUGCCCACAUCUAACUUUCAGUCUAGUGGAAAUGAAAAGGCACAGUUAGGAGGCAUGUGAGCAUGCCAUGAGAGAGGUCGAUGCCAAUUGAGAAGUCUGUGCCAAUCCCCAAUACUGUGGGAUUAAAGGGGAUGGAGAGCUGACUUCUCCUUCAGACCAUGGUUAACAAGGAAGGAGUGGUAGUUCUUCCAUGGGAACCUGAGGAGGAGCAAAUCCCAGGGUAAUCUAACUCCGGGUGCAGGAGCAAAUCCUUGGAGAGGAAAAUGGUCCAGUUCAGCUGUCACAGGAGACCGAAGAGAGCAAAGUCAUGUACUGCAGAGUCCCCUGGCUGAUUUGCUUCCUUAUGAUACUAUUUUGCACCAGCAUGCCCUCAUCUCCUGCUGCUCCUCUGCCUCUUCCAGAAUCAUGUCUUCCUACUUUGGUGCUCAGAUCAGUGGAUGUGCAUUGUACAAGUUGAUUACUUCCUGUAGCAGCCCUUUUGCUAGUCUUAGUUAUAUCCACCUUUAUUUUCUGCAUUAGGUACUGCUCCCUCCACCAUUGCUUAUUGCCUUGUAAGAGGUCUCAUUUUAUAUAUUUCAAUUUUCCUUUUUUUAAUAGACAUUUGACUUCAUCUUUUGCUGAUCUAUACUUUUGGGGUAACAUUGUCAUUUUUGAGGAUAUUUUUGUAUAUCUUAUUGAUUCGAAUUAAAUAAUCUCUUUAUAUUUCAA